GGAAGUGAAGCAGCUCAACAACCUCGAUACCCUGACGGCCAUGGCGAUCACAGACGAGCAAAAAGCCAAAUUCACCGGCGAAAUGAAAGAAGCGCUGGAAUAUUUGCUUCCGAAAAAGAGGAACGGGGCAAUUGAAACUGCUGUGAUGUCGCUGACAACGCUGCUUCUCCUGGUCUCGCUGAACCUCCUGCUGUAGAUGACGAUUCACGAGAAGCUAUCUCAACCCCCCUUUCCGUCACCAGCCAUCAUUGUCAGCGUUUACAUGUCAUCGGCACCUGACUCCACUGCGGAAACUUAUCAUCACGAACACUAGAUUAUUCUCUUCUCUUAUCCUAACAACCGCUUGGAUUCCCACUUACCCAGAUCACAUUAUCUCUGUCACCGUAAGAUGAGUCGGGUGAUCCAGCAGCAGCAGAAAUCAUAGAAGCAUGGCAUCAAGAGUCAUCCGAACAAUGCCAGUUUGUGGAGAAUGUUCAAUCUGUGCGACACAGUGUGCUGGAGAAAACAACUGAUGCCAACAAAAGUGAUUAAAUUUGUCAAGGUUUCCAAACCAACAGUCGAAAUUGCCGACAUCAUGAGUUUGGAAUACCAAACGACAACAUUGACAUACAAUAUAUCCAAAGUAGCAAUGGCCAAGAAUAGUGGAGGGAACAAUUCAUCCACUUGGCUUCACCAUUUCACCGUCCACAUUCUCAGGCGGAACAAUCAACACACCUGAUUGUGCCUUAAUUUUUUUUCAGUGCGGAAAACAAAAUAGAGGAUUCUCUUUGUGACUGCACGUCUCUUUUUUGUGGCUGAGUGUGCCUCUAUGUGUGUAUGUAGUUAAUAUCCUCGUAUGGCUUGAUUAUCUAUAGCUCAUCAGUAUUUUAGAUUACGAUGUUAAUUUGAUUAAGUUUAGAAGUAAAAGCUGCAAAGGAAAACACCAAAGAAUAGUAUUUAUUAAAGUAAAAAUAUAAACUGACUUUGUCUGUCAUCCAGUGAAAUCUAUCUUCUAAUUCCACGUGCUUAGGCCUUAUUCUUCAUGGAUACAUCCGCACUUCCUGUUGAAAGCAUGCUCUUGUACCCGCCUCUCUAAAAACAAAAGAUUAUUACAAAAUUUUCAGCUACGCAAUGUUCCUGUGUUCUCGAACGCAUUCAAAUUAUAAUUUUCAUACUUCCAUUAUCUUCUAGUUGUUUUUAUUAUUUCUUGCGUCCUUAUGAUAGCCUAAUUCAAAGACAUUUGCAGAAUCUUACCGUCGUUACUGAUUUACAAAAAAUUCACUUAUUCACCCUCUUUUUUCCUGCUUCCAAGCUCGUCCUCGUACUAAUUCUUCUCAAUGUCGCACUUUUGCCUGUGAGUUAAUCCCAGAAUCCCUUGGUUUCCUGCCAUCUUCUGCUGAUCAUCAAACCUCUCCUCCUCUAGGAAAUAUAUGCCUAUCCACUCUGUUACCUACCUGUAGCAUUGCUUUUGAGAACAACAUUUUUUUUCAAUUGCUUUGAGUUUGUCUAGGAGAGAUUACAAUGCUCAAAUUAAUGAAUCUGCUACAGCGAAAUUAA